rnacentral:rRNA from 1 species
CAACAGGGAUUGCCCUAGUAACGGCGAGUGAAGCGGCAACAGCUCAAAUUUGAAAUCUGGCUCUUUCAGAGUCCGAGUUGUAAUUUGCAGAGGGCGCUUUGGCUUUGGCAGCGGUCCAAGUUCCUUGGAACAGGACGUCACAGAGGGUGAGAAUCCCGUACGUGGUCGCUAGCUAUUGCCGUGUAAAGCCCCUUCGACGAGUCGAGUUGUUUGGGAAUGCAGCUCUAAAUGGGAGGUAAAUUUCUUCUAAAGCUAAAUAUUGGCCAGAGACCGAUAGCGCACAAGUAGAGUGAUCGAAAGAUGAAAAGCACUUUGGAAAGAGAGUCAAACAGCACGUGAAAUUGUUGAAAGGGAAGCGCUUGCAGCCAGACUUGCUUGCAGUUGCUCAUCCGGGCUUUUGCCCGGUGCACUCUUCUGUAGGCAGGCCAGCAUCAGUUUGGGCGGUGGGAUAAAGGUCUCUGUCACGUACCUCUCUUCGGGGAGGCCUUAUAGGGGAGACGACAUACCACCAGCCUAGACUGAGGUCCGCGCAUCUGCUAGGAUGCUGGCGUAAUGGCUGUAAGCGGCCCGUCUUGAAACACGGACCAAGGAGUCUAACAUCUAUGCGAGUGUUUGGGUGUCAAGCCCGAGCGCGUAAUGAAAGUGAACGGAGGUGGGAACCCGCAAGGGUGCACCAUCGACCGAUCCUGAAGUUUACGGAAGGAUUUGAGUAAGAGCAUGGCUGUUGGGACCCGAAAGAUGGUGAACUAUGCUUGAAUAGGGUGAAGCCAGAGGAAACUCUGGUGGAGGCUCGCAGCGGUUCUGACGUGCAAAUCGAUCGUCAAAUUUGGGCAUAGGGGCGAAAGACUAAUCG